GAUGAACGCUAGCGGCAGGCUUAACACAUGCAAGUCGAGGGGCAGCACGGGUAGCAAUACCUGGUGGCGACCGGCGGAAGGGUGCGUAACGCGUGAGCAACAUACCCUAUACAGGGGAAUAAGCCAGGGAAACUUGGUCUAAUGCCCCAUAGCAAUAGAAUAAGGCAUCUUAUUUUAUUUAAAGCUUCGGUGGUAUAGGAUUGGCCCGCGUGACAUUAGCUGGAUGGUGAGGUAACGGCUCACCAUGGCGAUGAUGUCUAGGGGUUCUGAGAGGAAGGCCCCCCACACUGGGACUGAGACACGGCCCAGACUCCUACGGGAGGCAGCAGUGAGGAAUAUUGGACAAUGGAUGGAAAUCUGAUCCAGCCAUGCCGCGUGCAGGAAGACGGCCCUAUGGGUUGUAAACUGCUUUUCUACGUGAGCAAUAAGGUCUACGAGUAGACUGAUGAGAGUAGCGUAGGAAUAAGCAUCGGCUAACUCCGUGCCAGCAGCCGCGGUAAUACGGAGGAUGCGAGCGUUAUCCGGAUUUAUUGGGUUUAAAGGGUGCGUAGGCGGCUUUUUAAGUCAGCGGUGAAAUUUUGCAGCUUAACUGUAACAGUGCCGUUGAUACUGAGGAGCUAGGAUUUGGUUGCUGUGGGUGGAAUGUGUGGUGUAGCGGUGAAAUGCUUAGAGAUCACACAGAAUAUCGAUUGCGAAGGCAGCUCACAAAGCCAAGAUUGACGCUGAGGCACGAAAGUGUGGGGAUCAAACAGGAUUAGAUACCCUGGUAGUCCACACUGUAAACGAUGAUAACUCGCUGUCGGCGAUACACAGUCGGUGGCCAAGCGAAAGCGAUAAGUUAUCCACCUGGGGAGUACGACCGCAAGGUUGAAACCCAAAGGAAUUGACGGGGGCCCGCACAAGCGGAGGACAUGUGGUUUAAUUCGAUGAUACGCGAGGAACCUUACCCG
rnacentral:rRNA from 1 species